rnacentral:rRNA from 1 species
UACGGAGGGUGCGAGCGUUAAUCGGAAUUACUGGGCGUAAAGCGCACGUAGGCGGCUUUGCAAGUCGGGUGUGAAAUCCCCGGGCUCAACCUGGGAACUGCAUCCGAGACUGCAUUGCUAGAGUAUGGGAGAGGGAAGCGGAAUUUCUGGUGUAGCAGUGAAAUGCGUAGAUAUCAGAAGGAACAUCAGUGGCGAAGGCGGCUUCCUGGACCAAUACUGACGAUCAGGUGCGAAAGCGUGGGGAGCAAACAGG